AUUGAACGCUGGCGGCAGGCCUAACACAUGCAAGUCGAGCGAGCGGCGGACGGGUGAGUAAUGUCUGGGAAACUGCCUGAUAGAGGGGGAUAACUACUGGAAACGGUAGCUAAUACCGCAUACCAUCAGAUGUGCCCAGAUGGGAUUAGCUAGUAGGUGGGGUAACGGCUCACCUAGGCGACGAUCCCUAGCUGGUCUGAGAGGAUGACCAGCCACACUGGAACUGAGACACGGCCCAGACUCCUACGGUAGGCAGCAGUGGGGAAUAUUGCACAAUGGGCGCAAGCCUGAUGCAGCCAUGCCGCGUGUAUGAAGAAGGCCCUCGGGUUGUAAAGUACUUUCAGUGGGGAGGCGUUACCGACAGAAGAAGCACCGGCUAACUCCGUGCCAGCAGCCGCGGUAAUUC
rnacentral:rRNA from 1 species